AGUGAACGCUGGCGGUAGGCCUAACACAUGCAAGUCGAACGGCAGCACAGUAAGAGCUUGCUCUUACGGGUGGCGAGUGGCGGACGGGUGAGGAAUACAUCGGAAUCUACUUUUUCGUGGGGGAUAACGUAGGGAAACUUACGCUAAUACCGCAUACGACCUACGGGUGAAAGCAGGGGAUCUUCGGACCUUGCGCGAUUGAAUGAGCCGAUGUCGGCUUAGCUAGUUGGCGGGGUAAAGGCCCACCAAGGCGACGAUCCGUAGCUGGUCUGAGAGGAUGAGCAGCCACACUGACCUGAGACACGGUCCAGACUCCUACGGGAGGCAGCAGUGGGGAAUAUUGGACAAUGGGCGCAAGCCUGAUCCAGCCAUCCCGCGUGGGUGAAGAAGGCCUUCGGGUUGUAAAGCCCUUUUGUUGGGAAAGAAAAGCAGCAGGUUAAUACCCCGCUGUUCUGACGGUACCCAAAGAAUAAGCACCGGCUAACUUCGU
rnacentral:rRNA from 1 species